rnacentral:rRNA from 1 species
GACGAACGCUGGCGGCGUGCUUAACACAUGCAAGUCGAACGGAAAGGCCCUGCUUUUGUGGGGUGCUCGAGUGGCGAACGGGUGAGUAACACGUGAGUAACCUGCCCUUGACUUUGGGAUAACUUCAGGAAACUGGGGCUAAUACCGGAUAGGAUCUCCUGCUGCAUGGUGUGGGUUGGAAAGUUUCGGCGGUUGGGGAUGGACUCGCGGCUUAUCAGCUUGUUGGUGAGGUAGGGGCUUACCAAGGCUUUGACGGGUAGCCGGCCUGAGAGGGUGACCGGCCACAUUGGGACUGAGAUACGGCCCAGACUCCUACGGGAGGCAGCAGUGGGGAAUAUUGCACAAUGGGCGGAAGCCUGAUGCAGCAACGCCGCGUGCGGGAUGACGGCCUUCGGGUUGUAAACCGCUUUCGCCUGUGACGAAGCGUGAGUGACGGUAAUGGGUAAAGAAGCACCGGCUAACUACGUG